UUCGGUUUAAAUGACGUUUCCGCCGGCUAAUAACAAGCUGCAGCGUCUGUCCAGCAGCCAAUCAGAAGGGAGGGGGGCGGGAACAGUCUGCGCACGUCACGUGGAAAAGAACCAGGGCUGUCCAGGCAGCCUUUCUGUUUUCAUUGGCACGAGGAGGCAGAUUCUUGCCGGUUCCACAAAGGUAAAUAGAGGCUUGACUCGUCGGGACACAUGCAGCUUCGCCGACAACAGUUUUACAGAUGUUAAAGCCAAUGCCUGCGAACGGAGAAGACCCCCAGCUGCAGUUCUCUUGUACGCCUCCUCCUGCAGAGAAGGUUACCUGGAUAUACAGGAUUAAGAUCAUUCACUGUCCCUACGAGGAAACCGCUGAUUCAGCAGGUUGAGACCUUACCUUUUAGCACGAGGGUCGAUGAUGGUGUGGUGAUGUCGUGCUUUAACAUUCAACAUGCUAACUGAGGCACCGAGGUCUGCAAAGUCUAAUCUGAGGUGAAGUUGCUGAGAUUUUUAUCCCUGCUUUUACGUAAUAGAAUGAAGUUCUCCAAAUUGUUUGGAAAUGACCUUCCAGUCAUCACCAGACGCAGGUGGCCAAUUUAGCUUCUGUAAGAUUGGUGUUGAUGCCGCUUUUCUGGCAUUGCAUAACUGGUCCAGACCGGAAAAGUGCUAACACUUCAGCUGUAAUGAAAGCUCUUAGACCUGCUGUUGAUUAUUUAAUCAAAUAUUAAAUCAUGUUAUGAGAACUCAAGGAAUAUUGAGUAUCUUGUGAAGUUACACUUUUGCAUAGCUUUAACAUAUAAAGAAAUAUUUUAAUUUUCAACACAUCAGCAUCAGAUUUUUAGCAGUAGCAGGACUUUAA